rnacentral:rRNA from 1 species
UACGUAGGGGGCAAGCGUUGUCCGGAUUUAUUGGGCGUAAAGAGCGUGUAGGCGGCUAUACAGGUCCGCUGUGAAAACUCGAGGCUCAACCUCGAGACGUCGGUGGAAACCGUAUGGCUAGAGUCCGGAAGAGGAGAGUGGAAUUCCUGGUGUAGCGGUGAAAUGCGCAGAUAUCAGGAAGAACACCCGUGGCGAAGGCGGCUCUCUGGGACGGUACUGACACUGAGGAGCGAAAGCGUGGGGAGCGAACAGG